rnacentral:rRNA from 1 species
ACUGGGACUGAGAACGGCCCAGACUCCUACGGGAGGCAGCAGUAGGGAAUUUUCCACAAUGGACGAAAGUCUGAUGGAGCAACGCCGCGUGCAGGAUGAAUGCCUUCGGGUUGUAAACUGCUUUUAUCUGUGACGAAUAUGACGGUAGCAGAUGAAUAAGGAUCGGCUAACUCCGUGCCAGCAGCCGCGGUCAUACGGAGGAUCCAAGCGUUAUCCGGAAUUACUGGGCGUAAAGAGUUGCGUAGGUGGCAGAGUAUGUCUGUAGUGAAAGCGUGUGGCUCAACCAUAUACACAUUACAGAAACUGCUCAGCUAGAGGGCGAGAGAGGUUACUAGAAUUCCUUGUGUAGGAGUGAAAUCCGUAGAUAUAAGGAGGAAUACCGAUGGCGUAGGCAGGUAACUGGCUCGUCCCUGACACUAAGGCACGAAAGCGUGGGGAGCAAACGGGAUUAGAUACCCCGGUAGUCCACGCCGUAAACGAUGGAUGCUAGCUGUAAGAGGUAUCGACCCCUCUUGUAGCGAAGCUAACGCGUUAAGCAUCCCGCCUGUGGAGUACGGUCGCAAGACUAAAACAUAAAGGAAUUGACGGGGACCCGCACAAGCGGUGGAGCGUGUUGUUUAAUUCGAUGGUAAACGAAGAACCUUACCCAGGUUUGACAUCCUUGGAAUUUUGCCGAAAGGCGAGAGUGCUUUAUUGAGCCAAGUGACAGGUGUUGCAUGGCCGUCGUCAGCUCGUGUCGUGAGAUGUUUGGUUAAGUCCAUCAACGAGCGCAACCCUUAUAGUCUGUUGUAUUUUUCAGGCUAGACUGCCCCGGUAACGGGGA